GACUCUGGGCAGUGGAUGACUAGGCCGUGCAUCUAGUAAGAAUACAGCUAUUUGUAAGAGAUAUUGUGAAUGGCAGGACACAUUACUUGCUGAUCGUUUGAACACACUUGUGGCCCCAUGUUCAUUUUGGGGCUUGUCGCUCAACGGAGAGUUU
rnacentral:rRNA from 1 species